UUUAUAAAAUAUGCAUUCCUCUUCACUAUGUUACAGCCUUUAAAGCUGAAAACAAUUGGAAUCACAACUUACUUUUGGCACCCAUCCAUGGACAUUUCAGAGCGCACACGUGUCGACAGUUACCGCUUUGGCCACUGGGGGCAGUGUUUCUCAUUUAGGACACACGCUUUCCAAACACAGUUCUGACCUCGGAUGAUUUCUUGCGCUUUGCUGCAGUGACACUGACAGACUAAAAAAAGACUGAUCUUUCAAAUCAACAAGGUGAAGAUUGUAGACUCUGGGAUUGAUGCUAAGGAAACACAUCUCUUAUGUGAUGAAACUGGCCUGUGUACUGGACCCACAGUUGAACUUCUUGGAAGAGGCUGACUCAAUCCCUGCAAUCAAAAGACAGCUAG